CACCUCUAGCAUCACCAGUAUUAGAGGCACUGCCUGCCCAGUGACAUUAGUUAAACGGCCGCGGUAUCCUGACCGUGCAAAGGUAGCAUAAUCAUUUGUUCCUUAAUUAGGGACUUGUAUGAAUGGCCCCACGAGGGUUUAACUGUCUCUUACUUUCAAUCAGUGAAAUUGACCUCCCCGUGAAGAGGCGGGGAUAUAAAAAUAAGACGAGAAGACCCUAUGGAGCUUAAAUUAAUAUGCUCAACAAAAUUUAAACAUAACCCAACAGGAGUAAUUAUAAUUUAACUGAGCAAUAAAUUUUGGUUGGGGUGACCUCGGAGUAUAACAAAACCUCCGAGUGAUUUAAACAAGACGUACCCGUCAAAGUUCAUAACAUAUUGAUCCAAUCAUAUUGAUCAACGAAACAAGUUACCCUAGGGAUAACAGCGCAAUCCUAUUCGAGAGUUCAUAUCGACAAUAGGGUUUACGACCUCGAUGUUGGAUCAGGACACCCAAAUGGUGCAGCAGCUAUUAAAGGUUCGUUUGUUCAACG
rnacentral:rRNA from 1 species